UGCAAGUCGACGGUAGCAGGCCUUCGGGCGCUGACGAGUGGCGGACGGGUGASUAACGCGUAGGAAUCUGCCUCAUAGUGGGGGACAACGUGGGGAAACUCACGCUAAUACCGCAUACGCCCCAAGGGGGAAAGGAGGGGAUCUUCGGACCUUUCGCUAUGAGAUGAGCCUGCGUUAGAUUAGCUAGUUGGUAGGGUAAAGGCCUACCAAGGCGACGAUCUAUAGCUGGUCUGAGAGGACGAUCAGCCACACUGGGACUGARACACGGCCCAGACUCCUACGGGAGGCAGCAGUGGGGAAUAUUGGACAAUGGGCGAAAGCCUGAUCCAGCAAUACCGCGUGUGUGAAGAAGGCCUUAGGGUUGUAAAGCACUUUCAAUUGGGAGGAAAACCUACCGGUCAAUACCCGGUAGCUUGACAUUACCUUUAGAAGAAGCACCGGCUAACUCCGUGCCAGCAGCCGCGGUAAUACGGAGGGUGCGAGCGUUAAUCGGAAUUACUGGGCGUAAAGCGUGCGUAGGCGGUUCGUUAAGUCAGAUGUGAAAGCCCCGGGCUCAACCUGGGAACUGCAUUUGAAACUGGCGAACUCGAGUUUAGUAGAGGGGAGUGGAAUUUCAGGUGUAGCGGUGAAAUGCGUAGAUAUCUGAAGGAACACCAGUGGCGAAGGCGACUCCCUGGACUAGAACUGACGCUGAGGUACGAAAGCGUGGGUAGCAAACAGGAUUAGAUACCCUGGUAGUCCA
rnacentral:rRNA from 1 species